AUUUGUUGUUGUUCUGAGCUAGUGUGCUUGCUGGCAUGGGGGUAUGCAUAUUGCAGAUUUAACUAACAAAACUCAAGGCUUUUGAUGAACUGACGUCGGUCAAUUGUUUCACACUCCAGUAGCUAGCUGGUGGGAGACACCUCGAUUGGAGACAUCAAAUAAUAGAUAUAUGUGUAUUUGUGACUAACAGUUAGCCAACAAGGGUUUAACAACAUUACAGAAACAGUAGAAGUACAUAUGCAGAGCAGAGGGAGCUAGCUAGCUAGCUGCCUGAGCUGCACCGGCAUGCGUGGUGCAGCCUGUAGCCUUCUAAUUUGCAACCAUGCAAUUGGAGAUGACUUCUGAAUUUUGAAUUUGUUUUGUUUCAGGAGAUUGAGAAGUCAGACAUCUGGAUUUUGGUGUAGAACACAUGUUAUGCUCUGGGCAUAUGAAGUUCCAAGGGCAAGAAACAGUAUAACUGGAGGCAAGAGAAGAACUUUCUGUCAUAUACCAUCAGGAUAGCAAAGCUGAUACAAUUUUUUAAAGCAAUGAUUGUUCAGUGUGAUCCUUAAGUCCUUCACACUCAUUCUUACCGGCCAUGCACUAGAAAUGAUCAUGUCAUCUUAUGUAUCACUUCAUAUGUAUGUAUGUCUCUCGUGGGUGCGCCAGAUUGACAAAUAUGUGUGCCCGGGAAGGGUCUAGUUUGACGUGUACUCGAAUAUUUGUGCAACUAAUGGUCUAGCUUGACAUGUACUUAAAUAAUUCCAAUAUUUGUGCCUGGAAUUGUCCAGUCUAACAUGUGCCUGAAAUGGUCUAGCUUGACUUAAUUUUCUCAUCUUCA